CAGUCGCCACGGUAAUACGUAGGGUGCGAGCGUUAAUCGGAAUUACUGGGCGUAAAGCGUGCGCAGGCGGUUUUGUAAGACAGGCGUGAAAUCCCCGGGCUCAACCUGGGAAUGGCGCUUGUGACUGCAAAGCUAGAGUGCGGCAGAGGGGGAUGGAAUUCCGCGUGUAGCAGUGAAAUGCGUAGAUAUGCGGAGGAACACCGAUGGCGAAGGCAAUCCCCUGGGCCUGCACUGACGCUCAUGCACGAAAGCGUGGGGAGCAAACAGGAUUAGAUACCCCGGUAGUCCCUGUCUCUUAUAA
rnacentral:rRNA from 1 species